rnacentral:tRNA from 1 species
CGGGGCAUGGCUCAGCUUGGUAGAGCGCUUCUCUGGGGGGAAGAGGUCGAGAGUUCGAAUCUCUCUGCUCCGACCA